rnacentral:rRNA from 1 species
GACAGAGGUGCCAAGCGUUAGGCGGAAUCACUGGGCUUAAAGGCGUGUGUAGGCGGAUCGUUAAGUGCCUUGUGAAAUCCCACGGCUUAACCGUGGAACUGCUCGGCAUACUGGCGGUCUUGAGCCAUCUAGGGGCUACCGGAACAAAUGGUGGAGCGGUGAAAUGCGUAGAUAUCAGGAAGAACACCGGUGGCGAAGGCGGCUCUCUGGGCCUUACCUGACGCUGAGGAGCGAAAGCGUGGGUAGCGAACAGG